rnacentral:sRNA from 1 species
GCAGAAACCCCAGCAUGACAAGCAAGUAGGAAGGUGACAUUGUCGUUUGAGAAAAGCCAGUGACCCGGUUGGGACAGAGACACGAUGGGGAGCUGGUCUCCAAUAGCAUGCCCUUCCUGAAGGCCAACGAGGUGACGGACAGCGCGUACAUGGGCUCCGAGAGCACCUACAGUGAGUGUGAGACCUUCACGGACGAGGACACCAGCACCCUGGUGCACCCUGAGCUGCAACCUGAAGGGGACGCAGACAGUGCCGGCGGCUCGGCCGUGCCCUCUGAGUGCCUGGACGCCAUGGAGGAGCCCGACCAUGGUGCCCUGCUGCUGCUCCCAGGCAGGCCUCACCCCCAUGGCCAGUCUGUCAUCACGGUGAUCGGGGGCGAGGAGCACUUUGAGGACUACGGUGAAGGCAGUGAGGCGGAGCUGUCCCCAGAGACCCUAUGCAACGGGCAGCUGGGCUGCAGUGACCCCGCUUUCCUCACGCCCAGGUAACGACGCCUUGUUCCAGCACACCCUCCUCCCUCUUCUUCCCGUGGUUAGUAGUGGGAAGUUUCCCUUUUUGGCUCAUGCAUUGGUAAGAGAGAACUUGCU